GAUGAACGCUAGCGGCAGGCCUAAUACAUGCAAGUCGAGCGGCAAGUCGAGGAGUAAUCUGAGACCUAGAGCGGCGUACGGGUGCGUAACGCGUAUGCAACCUACCUCAUACAGGGGGAUAGCCCGGAGAAAUCUGGAUUAAUACCCCAUAGCACAGCACAAGGGCAUCUGCGAGCUGUUAAAGAUUCAUCGGUAUGAGAUGGGCAUGCGUCUGAUUAGCUAGUUGGCGGUGUAACGGACCACCAAGGCGAAGAUCAGUAGGGGUUCUGAGAGGAAGGUCCCCCACACUGGCACUGAGAGACGGGCCAGACUCCUACGGGAGGCAGCAGUAGGGAAUAUUGGGCAAUGGACGAGAGUCUGACCCAGCCAUGCCGCGUGCAGGAAGAAGGCCUUCUGGGUUGUAAACUGCUUUUAUCUGGGAAGAAAAGGCCCAUGCGUGGGACAUUGCCGGUACCAGAUGAAUAGGCACCGGCUAACUCCGUGCCAGCAGCCGCCGUAA
rnacentral:rRNA from 1 species